GACGAACGCUGGCGGCGUGCUUAACACAUGCAAGUCGAACGGUGAAAGCGGAGCUUGCUCCGCUGGAUCAGUGGCGAACGGGUGAGUAACACGUGGGCAACCUGCCCCUCACUUCGGGAUAACUCCGGGAAACCGGGGCUAAUACCGGAUAUGACCUCCUUGGGCAUCCUUGGAGGUGGAAAGUUUUUCGGUGAGGGAUGGGCCCGCGGCCUAUCAGCUUGUUGGUGAGGUAGUGGCUCACCAAGGCGACGACGGGUAGCCGGCCUGAGAGGGUGACCGGCCACACUGGGACUGAGACACGGCCCAGACUCCUACGGGAGGCAGCAGUGGGGAAUAUUGCACAAUGGGCGCAAGCCUGAUGCAGCAACGCCGCGUGAGGGAUGACGGCCUUAGGGUUGUAAAGCUCUUUCGUCCGGGACGAUAAUGACGGUACCGGAAGAAGAAGCCCCGGCUAACUUCGUGCCAGCCGCCGCAGUAA
rnacentral:rRNA from 1 species